rnacentral:lncRNA from 1 species
UAUAUUUAAUAUUUUUUUUCAGUUGGCGGAUUUCCAACUUUCCUUUUUUUCUUUGCUAAUUUUUUUUUUUCAUUUUUUAUUAGUAUUAACCUAGGUUACAUAAUUCAACUGAGAGGUAAUAUAUUUUGCAUUAAUAUUUUCAAAUCAAUUUUUUCAAAAGACCUUUUUAAUUUUGUAUUUUAUAUAAUCAAAUCCCUCUAUUUUUG